rnacentral:misc_RNA from 1 species
AUCAAACAAAAAAAAUUUUCAGAAAGUUUGAUCACGUGUUAGUGUUUUUUUUGUAGUGCAUUUUCCUCUCAUUUUCUUUGUUAUUUCUGAGAUCAGGUAAUAAAAUAAUCUCAACAGUUGGCAUUGCACUUCACUUUUGCGGUUUUGUCAAUUUUUAUAUGAUGGUUUGAGUAUAUUUUGCGGAUGCUUGGAGACAAAACAAUAUAUUUUUUUGACG